CCUGCUAUUCUCCAGCUGCCUCGGCCUUCUAACUAGCUCACUUGUUUUCUUCCCCUGCUGUUCCCUUUCUGUGUUUCUCUCUCCCUCGCCCUGAUUCUCUCUCUCUCUCUCUCUGGGCUGUGUGUAAGAGGAUCACUUUGUUUCCGUUGCCUUUUUCCGCGGUGCUGCAGACACACAUGGAAGAGAGGAUUGGGUUUGAGGAGAUACUGAUGGGGGUGCACAGCUGCAACAGUCCCCUCCAUCUCCACACCGGGACUAAUGCCCCCCACCCCUCUAUCUCUCUCCCUCUCUCCCUGUGUGUUUGACUCUCCCUCUGUCGCACUCUCUCUGCUUUCUGCCUCUCGGAGGGGUGGGGGGUGCCAUAUGGGAGCUCAGUAAAAUGGAAGUGGAUCAGAGAUAGAAGAGAGGAAUCUGUCAUUGGUGGGCUCGGAUAUUGGGUUCUAUGUGAGGCAAACUCAAACCAUAGCAGCGAAACCCCCGAGCAAGUCACUUCCAUGAAGGGAAAAGGAAAGGUGGGGGGAUUGAAGUGAAGUGGAGGGGGGGGCGUUUCCUGCCAGCAAAGAGCAGACUUAAGAUUACCCCCCCCCCCCAGCUCCUCAUUAUAUGCAGUGGCUGGUGCUCAGGUGACAUGGCCGCUGGAUCCGUUCCCAACUGCAGGAACAUCAGCAGCGUGGAAGAGAGCGAGAUAGCAGGUAAGGACAAUGAAAACAGGCGGAAGAAAAGAGGGAGAGAGACAGGGAGGGGGGGAGGCAAGGCAAUGGUUUCUUUUAAGGAUUUAACACCCGAACAGACACACUCUUAUACACUUCACACUGCUGUAAUACACACACAUCUCCAAGUUCAAGCCCAGCCUCCCUCUCAAAGCCAGUAGAAGUGUGUGAACAAGUGAUCAUGCAUUUUUGUUCGUUAAUAGCAUAUUUUCGUUUUCAAAAGAUAUUUAUUCAUAAAUACUGCAUAUGUUUCUUGUAUGUAAUAUCUUAACAGUAUAUUAAUUGUAGAUGGUACAAUAUAUGCUUUUCAUAUUGUAAAUAAUGUGAUUAAAAUAAAUGACUCUGUUGAAAAUGUUCUGUGUCUGGUUAUUUAGAUUUAUAAUGUUUUAUUCCACGGAAGCAAACAAUGAAGGAAUCCUGCAGUUUCCCCUCCAAACACUUUCAUUGUUUUCACUUGUGAGGUUUUCAUUCUCCUUGAUUUGUAGGAUAUUGGCUUUAUUACCAGAGGCAACAAAGAGAGGUGUACUUGACAAAUACUCAUACACUCUGCAAGUGUGUGUGUGUGUAUGUGUGUGUGUGUGUGUGUGUGUGUGUGUGUGUGUGUGUGUCUGUGUGUGUGUGUGUGUGUGUCAGAGGAAAAGCGCAUACGAGGAAAGAGUAAGAAAGGGAGGAAAGAGAGUCCGUGUGCACUUUUGUUCUAUUUGUGUGUGUGUGUGUGUGUGUGUGUGUGUGUGUGUGUGUGUGUGUGUGUGUGUGUGUGUGUGUGAGAGAGAGAGAGUGUUUGUGAGCAUUGGGGGAGCAGUGCGGCCAGGCUGCAGAUAUCAUCCAUCUCCCUGUCACCGGCCCAGAGGCUGCUGGGAAAGUGGCAGACAGCUCCCCGGCUCUGACAACAGAGGCAGCAUCCUAAUUUUCCGACACAGAAUGUUAAAAAAAAACCUGGGCUGCUCCUCCCUCACCACCCAGUACAGAUAACCAUUAACCCUACGAUCCGGGAACAAACCAUGGAGCUCAGCCGGGCCACCGCUGGCUGGAAGUCAUAUCAGCUCCCAUCAUUCUCCAGCCGUGACUGUGAGCAGCGACACUUGACAUGAACUUCACUUUAAACAUUAUAAUAAAGACUUUCUCGUUAAAGCUGCACAUAACAAGGAACGCUAGAACAUUUGUACAUUUUUCAAGGCAAUUUAAUUAAGAGGUCAUUUUACUGACUGAUACUUGAUAACAUUGCAGGGAUUUCAUUUGUAAAGUGCAUUUUCAAAAUAAAAGUCCUCCUGGCUAUAGCUGUUCUAACGGGAUUACAUGCUUUCUGGUAAGCCAUGACUAAUUGUGUUACAAAGCUGUUGUCUGACAUUCUAUAGCUUUUAUUGUGUGUGCCAGCAUUUCCCAUCUCUCCAAGUGUUUUGUGUUUCUCAUCUCUGUUCCUAGGCAUCAAAUAAACAUUGGCAUGAGGAUUAAAUUAGUUACUCACGAAUGUUUCAUGUGUGUAACUGUUAGCAAGUCUUUUCCUGCUUAAGGAAAUUAAAAAUCCUUCAAAUCUUUUCUCACAUAGAGAUGAAGUCACACGUUAGUCUCACAGUUUUUCUGAGCACACCUCUGAAAAUAUAUUACAGUGGAGAAAUCAUGUAAAUAAAUGAACAUGGGUAUAUUGUGAGUUUCCCAGCAGAGGGGAAAGUGAGAAUAAUUCAAAACAUUUUCAAUGAUUCAUAGAUAUAAUUGUGAAUACACUGUGGGUACAGUUAUGAUGAGUAAAGUUAAUUUCACUCAAACAUGCAGCUGUUUUAAAGCUGCCUGCCAAUGUUUUGUAAAUGUGUAUUAACAAUUAAUAAAGUCUUUUUAACAUAAUAAGAUUUGUUCAUGUAUGUAAUCAUAUAUAAAUAAAUAUGAUUACAGCAAUGUUAAACUGUGUUUGUACACCAGUUAUGGAUGCAGACAACAAUGUACAUAUAUCUUCCUAAGAAUAUAUUUGUGUAUUAUAAACAACUAAUUAAUUGUUAUAAUACUGCUUAUAAAUGCUAAGCAGCUAAAGUGUUUGAAUUUUACUCAAAUAAAUUCUACUAAUUUGCAGCCACAGGUGAAACACAAUACAUGUGGAUUUCUGUGAGGUCCUCUUCAGUAAUCAUGCUGCAUUUGUGUUCUUUAGGUAAGAGAGCCGACGGGCCUCUGACUGCAGUUCAAACUGCCAUUCAGCUUGAGUCUUGAGUCUUGAGUCUUGAGUCUUGAGGAAUGAGGUUCACUUUGAUUUAUCUUCCUGAAUCCUGGUGUCACUAAUAAGUAAAGUACAAAAUGAUACAUUUACUGUUAAAUAAAUCAAGAGAACUGUAUGACCUCAUUCAUUUUUUGCUUAAAUAAAAAAAAGCACAAGAGCAUAAAACUUGCUGGGUUUGUCAUUUGCGGUGUACACUUCUAUGUUUGGCUCGCUGUAAAACAUGAACUCCAUAACUAAGCACACAUGUGAAAACACUUAUGAGGAGAAACCAAAAUCUACAGUCAACUACAAUUACUGUGUCUGUAAAUCUUCAAAGUGCUUCCAAUAUGAGCGCUGAUUUUUACCAACUUCACAUGAACACAGCAUGAGCCAUGCUUUUAAGCAUUAUCACACACAGUAAUAAUUGUGCAAGACGUGCUGUCCUCAUGUUAACAUGUCAAAGAAACACAUAAUCAAAACCAAGUGACAUUGUUGUUCUUUUAUUUGAUUGUAUUUGUUGUACCAUGUUUGUGUUGUUUUCUUCUAAUGGGCUUUAAGUCUCACAAUAAAGAUACACUGAACUAAAUUGUGUUCUUGUACCAAACAGCACCUGAUAAAUGAGCUGCAGUCACUAACCAAAUGCCAACUGUUUACAGCAUCUCAGGAUGAAAUAACCGGCUUCCCCUUAAUUAACAGUUUCCACAUAAUACUCCCCCCUCCCUCAGAACUGCUUAGGUGCAGCAUUGUACAUGAGUGCUUUGGAUGGAGCUUCCCAGCUGUUUUGAAAUCCCUGUGACUGUGAGUAAAUCACAACUUGCAAACGCUACGCUGAGCUCAAAGAGACAUCUGAAGACUGGGAAUCCAACCCUUGCUGGGCACAAAGACGACUUUGAUUUCUGAUGAGUAAAAUAAACACCGUGCUUGUACAUGUUACUAGAAUCUGCUGAGUCUGUUUCUGUACAUUGCCUUUGGGAACCCACACUGAGAAAAAAAAAACACAAGCUUCUCUAAUAGAGUAUGGCUGAAAGAAUGGGUUUAAGUCAUCAACAGAUGCACAUUUGCUUUUCAAUUUUCACAUGCAAAAGAAAAAUGUAUGUAAAAAUUCAAAAUUGUAGUUUAAAAAAAAUGUGUUUCAAACUGAUUGUGGAAUGAAUUAAUGAAUGAUGUAUUUUUGAAAUGUCCCAUACCACAUAGGAUUACAUGGCACACGAUAACACAACAUAUAAUUAAAGAUCUCCAGCUCUUGGCCUUCAUGUUCCAAAGAAAAUUAGUAAUUUCUGUAUAUCACAUACUUUCCAUGUUUCCUAAAUCAAAGAAAAGCUUUAGAAACACAAUAUAAAAACCGAUAAUGCUUAGCUAUGCUAGCAGUGUGGCUUUAUGUUGGUCAGUUGCUCCAUCACUGUGAAGGAAUAACUGUUGGAUAGAUGCCAUGAACUUUGACACAGAUGUUCAUGAUCCUCAGAGGACAUAGGCCUAUGUGCUUUUGGGUGAAACUAUUGGUUGGCUUGUCAUGAAAUUUUGUACAUUGUACUCUCAAGAAUAAGUCUUGCAUCCCUUAACUUUUCAUUUUGUUCCAUCAUCAGGUCAACAUUUGAAGUUGCCUAUUACUUUGGUUCUGGUAAAAGCAAUGACAUUCCCAUCAGCCUCAGCUGUACAUUGUGUUUUGUGAUAAUUAGCUAAUGUUAGCAUGCUAACACGCUGAGAUAGUAAACAUGGUAAACAUUAUAUGAAAAAACAUCAGCAUGUUAGCAUGCUAAUGAUAGCAUUUAGCCCAAAGCACCACUGUGUCUACACAUGGCUGUAGACUCUCAGCGCGUCUUCUCAUUGAUCAAGUGUAAUAACUUUCAGUCUUUUCAUUAUUUUAGCAUCUUCCAACAAAAAUCUUCUUUUUUAGUUCUACUGAAAAAUGUCAUGCUUAGGUCAUGAUAUGAAGGACAAAAGAAAAUGUAAUUCAUUUAACCACUUAACUCAUCUUGUUCAUCAAUGCAUCAAUGCCAACAUAAUGCUCUGGUUCCAGAUAGUAAGAUAUUAACAUCUCCGUUGGACACAGAGAUGCUAGUAUCUUAUGAUGUUCUGUAGUAAAUUCAGUUUUGUUUAAACUGGUCUGAGCUUUUUCCAAAUCUCAGUAGCCUUUUUUUUCUUUUAUA